GAUGAACGCUGGCGGCGUGCCUAAUACAUGCAAGUCGAGCGAACAGACGAGGAGCUUGCUCCUCUGACGUUAGCGGCGGACGGGUGAGUAACACGUGGAUAACCUACCUAUAAGACUGGGAUAACCUCGGGAAACCGGAGCUAAUACCGUAUAAUAUAUUGAACCGCAUGGGUCAAUAGUGAAAGACGGUUUUGCUGUCACUUAUAGAUGCAUCUGGGCCGCAUUAGAUAGUUGGUAAGGUAACGGCCUACCAAGGCAACGAUGCGUAGCCGACCGGAGAGACUGAUAGCCGACAUUGGAGCGGGACCGCGGUCAUGGGGCCUGCGGGAGGGAGCAGAAGCGAACGUUACGCAGUGGGCGAAAGCUUGACGGAGCAACGCGACGUGAGAUAUGAAGGUCUUCGGUUCGUAAUGCCCUGUUAUUAGGGGUGAACAAAUGUGGAAGGAAAUAUGCCCGUAUUGACGGUACCUGGUCAGAAAGCAACGGCUAACUACGUG
rnacentral:rRNA from 1 species